rnacentral:ncRNA from 1 species
AUGUGGAGGGGCCGGUGUUGCCGGCUGAGAUUGCAUCCGUUUCAGAUGCUGACUCUUUGAACCUGAUCUGGGUUAUGCCAGCGGAGGGAACAUUUAU